rnacentral:rRNA from 1 species
AUUGAACGCUGGCGGCAUGCCUUACACAUGCAAGUCGAACGGCAGCACGGGGGCAACCCUGGUGGCGAGUGGCGAACGGGUGAGUAACGCAUCGGGACGUGCCCAGUAGUGGGGGAUAACCAGUCGAAAGACUGGCUAAUACCGCAUACGACCCAAGGGUGAAAGCGGGGGACCAUAAGGCCUCGAGCUAUUGGAGCGGCCGAUGUCUGGUUAGCUAGUUGGCGGGGUAAGAGCCCACCAAGGCGACGAUCAGUAGCUGGUCUGAGAGGACAACCAGCCACACGGGGACUGAGACACGGCCCAGACUCCUACGGGGGGCAGCAGUGGGGAAUUUUGGACAAUGGGCGCAAGCCUGAUCCAGCCAUGCCGCGUGCGGGAAGAAGGCCUUCGGGUUGUAAACCGCUUUUGGCAGGAACGAAACGGUGCAAGCCAAUACCUUGCGCUAAUGACGGUACCUGCAGAAUAAGCACCGGCUAACUACGUGCCAGCCGCCGCCGUAAGAC